rnacentral:tRNA from 1 species
CGGGGUGUAGCUCAGCCUGGUUAGAGCGCCACGUUUGGGACGUGGAAGUCGUUGGUUCGAAUCCAAUCACCCCGACCA